rnacentral:rRNA from 1 species
UACGGAGGGGCUAGCGUUGUUCGGAAUUACUGGGCGUAAAGCGCACGUAGGCGGCUUUGUAAGUUAGAGGUGAAAGCCCGGGGCUCAACUCCGGAAUGGCCUUUGAGACUAGAGAACUAGGGUACGGGAGAGGUGAGUGGAAUUCCGAGUGUAGAGGUGAAAUUCGUAGAUAUUCGGAAGAACACCAGUGGCGAAGGCGGCUCACUGGCCCGUUACCGACGCUCAGGCGCGACAGCGUGGGGAGCAAACAGGGAUU